GCAGAUGUGGCUUAGUGGGAGAGUGCUUGCCUACUAAGCAUAAGACCCUGGGUUCCAUCCCCAGCACUGCA
rnacentral:tRNA from 1 species